AAAAGUAAAAAAAAAUUAGAAAAAGAGAUAUACCUCAUUGGUUUCUAAAGAUGCUUGGUCAUGGUUACCAUCAGUAGCCAAUCCUGCGUUAUUGUCCACAUCGACUUCCUUCGUAUGGACAACAUCAGGGGACGUAUUGGACUCAGGCAGAAGCGUAUCGCCUUUGCCAACCUGAUUGAUAGGAGGUUCAUGUGAACUAUCAGUUCUCUAGCAUCCAUGUGGAUGUAAUACUGUGGACUGAGGGAUUUUGUAUGAC
rnacentral:lncRNA from 1 species